GCACAAGCGGUGGAGGAUGUGGUUUAAUUCGACGCAACGCGAAGAACCUUACCUAGGCUUGACAUGCUGGCGAAACCGUGGAAACACGGUCCUCCCGCAAGGGACGCUAGUACAGGUGGUGCAUGGCUGUCGUCAGCUCGUGUCGUGAGAUGUUGGGUUAAGUCCCGCAACGAGCGCAACCCUUGUCAUUAGUUGCUACGAAAGGGCACUCUAAUGAGACUGCCGGUGACAAACCGGAGGAAGGUGGGGAUGACGUCAAGUCCUCAUGGCCCUUAUAGGUGGGGCUACACACGUCAUACAAUGGCUGGUACAAAGGGUUGCCAACCCGCGAGGGGGAGCCAAUCCCAUAAAGCCAGUCGUAGUCCGGAUCGCAGUCUGCAACUCGACUGCGUGAAGUCGGAAUCGCUAGUAAUCGUGGAUCAGCAUGUCACGGUGAAUACGUUCCCGGGUCUU
rnacentral:rRNA from 1 species